GAGAGUUAAACAGUACGUGAAAUUGUUGAAAGGGAAACGAUUGAAGCCAGUCGUACCUAUGGGUAAUCAGCCUUUUGGGUGUGAUUUUGUGGAGCGUGAGGAGUUAAACGCCCUCAUGCCUGCAUAUUCGUGCACUUUGGGUGUACUUGCCCGUGUGUAAGUUAACAUCAAUUUUGGUGGUCAUAAAAUGGCUGGAGGAAUGUAGCUUCGAUCUUGUAUUGAAGUGUUAUAGCCUUCGGUAGAUGUGACGAUCGGGAUUGAGGAUUGCAACGGAUACCCUUCGGGGCUACCUGUCUGAUCUCUGAUUGUUGCUCUGGUGCCGAAAGCUUGCUUACGGUUAUCAAAGUCGAUGUUCAAUAGGUUAGAAUGGGUUAAAUUCGUUAAGGAUGUUGACGUAAUGGCUUUAAACGA
rnacentral:rRNA from 1 species